UACGUAGGGACCGAGCGUUGUCCGGAAUCAUUGGGCGUAAAGAGCGUGUAGGCGGCCACUUAAGUCCUGCGUGAAAUCUUGCGGCUCAACCGCAAGCGGUCGUGGGAAACUGGGUGGCUAGAGUGCGGAAGAGGAGAGUGGAAUUCCCGGUGUAGCGGUGAAAUGCGCAGAUAUCGGGAAGAACACCCGUGGCGAAGGCGGCUCUCUGGGACGGUACUGACGCUGAGACGCGAAAGCGUGGGGAGCGAACAGG
rnacentral:rRNA from 1 species